UACGGAGGGAGCUAGCGUUGUUCGGAAUUACUGGGCGUAAAGCGCACGUAGGCGGCUAUUCAAGUCGGGGGUGAAAGCCCGGGGCUCAACCCCGGAACUGCCUUUGAUACAGCACGUCUCGAGUCCGGAAGAGGUGGGUGGAAUUCCUAGUGUAGAGGUGAAAUUCGUAGAUAUUAGGAAGAACACCGGUGGCGAAGGCGGCCCACUGGUCCGGUACUGACGCUGAGGUGCGAAAGCGUGGGGAGCAAACAGG
rnacentral:rRNA from 1 species